UUCCGGUUGAUCCUGCCGGAGGCGACCGCUUUGGGAGUUCGAUUAAGCCAUGCGAGUCGUGAGUCUUAGGGACUCGGCAUACUGCUCAGUAACACGUGGAUAACCUGCCCUAUCGUCUGGAAUAACCUCGGGAAACUGAGAAUAAGGCCGGAUAGUUCACAAUGCCUGGAACGGUUUGUGAAUCAAGGUAGGAUGGGUCUGCGGCGUAUCAGGUUGUAGGGGGUGUAAAGGACCCCCUAGCCUUCGACGCGUACGGGUGUUGGGAGACAUAGCCCGGAGAUGGAUUCUGAGACACGAAUCCAGACCCUACGGGGUGCAGCAGGCGCGAAAACUUCACACU
rnacentral:rRNA from 1 species